UUAGAGUUUUGAUUCCUGGCUCAGGACGAACGCUGGCGGCGUGCCUAAUACAUGCAAGUCGAGCGCAGGAAACCAGUUGACCCCUUCGGGGUGAUUCUGGCGGAAUGAGCGGCGGACGGGUGAGUAACACGUGGGCAACCUGCCUGUAAGACUGGGAUAACUUCGGGAAACCGGAGCUAAUACCGGAUAGUAUUUCCUUUCUCCUGAUUGGAAAUGGAAAGACGGUUUCGGCUGUCACUUACAGAUGGGCCCGCGGUGCAUUAGCUAGUUGGUGGGGUAAUGGCCCACCAAGGCGACGAUGCAUAGCCGACCUGAGAGGGUGAUCGGCCACACUGGGACUGAGACACGGCCCAGACUCCUACGGGAGGCAGCAGUAGGGAAUCUUCCGCAAUGGACGAAAGUCUGACGGAGCAACGCCGCGUGAGCGAUGAAGGCCUUCGGGUCGUAAAGCUCUGUUGUUAGGGAAGAACAAGUACGAGAGUAACUGCUCGUACCUUGACGGUACCUAACCAGAAAGCCCCGGCUAACUACGUGCCAGCAGCCGCGGUAAUACGUAGGGGGCAAGCGUUGUCCGGAAUUAUUGGGCGUAAAGGGCUCGUAGGCGGUUUCUUAAGUCUGAUGUGAAAGCCCACAGCUCAACUGUGGAGGGUCAUUGGAAACUGGGGAACUUGAGUGCAGAAGAGGAGAGUGGAAUUCCACGUGUAGCGGUGAAAUGCGUAGAUAUGUGGAGGAACACCAGUGGCGAAGGCGACUCUCUGGUCUGUAACUGACGCUGAGGAGCGAAAGCGUGGGAGCAA
rnacentral:rRNA from 1 species